rnacentral:lncRNA from 1 species
AGAUGAAGUUAGCCUUCUCAGCUAGCCUUUAGAUUUGUCUGUUAACAGUAGAAAUGCUAUAAUAAAUCAGUAACAUAUGUUGCCAGGCAGGGAAAAGUGGUAGACAAGAGCCUGGGAGACCAAGCCAAGUACCAUGUGAAAGAAUUCAAAUUUCAAUCUAUUUGCUGCUAAUUACCAUCUGAAAAGUAAUUUGAAAGUGUUGUUACUUGCUUAUAUUCUUCCUCAUUUUUCUUUCUUUCUUUUUUUUUUUUUCUCUUCAGAUUGCUUUCUUACCCAAAUUAUCUCCGUGAUUGCCUGUCCUGAGGCUUUGGGCCAAUGCAAACUACGGAAUGGCAAGUCUUACAAUCUUGUCUGUCCUUGUCUGGCAUCCAUCCUCCUUCCAGAAUGAACAGAGGUAUAUCCAUAAGCACUGGACCCUGAUUUCACAGCCUCAUCCAAAGCCAGGCAAUUCUUGAGGCAAACAAACAAAGGGGUGUGAGUGAUUUCAUUUAUUUUGAUAAUCCUCUGUCUGCACAGGGGCACUUUGCUGUCUUUGUCAAAGUGAAUGACAACAAUUUGGCCAACUCUCUCUGAGCUGCACUCAACAGUGACAGGCAAAUUAUCAGA